rnacentral:lncRNA from 1 species
GGAAGAAAUAUCCUCUCGGACUUAAGAGGACGUUGGCAAAAUUCAGUGAACUAAUCCAACAGCUAAUUAGUUCUUGAAAAUGGAAAUGGAAAAGAACAUAGCCUUUUCAUCUACUUGUGUGUGCCAACAAGUAUUUUGUUCUUUCUGAGCUACUGAUGGAUAAGCGCAGUCAGAUUCCUGAAGACCCUGUGUGCAGUGGCUGUGACUCUGUCUUCCUAGAGGAAAGAGGCCCCCAUGAGGGCCAUUUGAAAGGCCCUCCCUGUGCUUGGGGAAGUAAUCAAGUGAACCGUUGGACAUUAGAUAUGGUCAUGCCAGUCGCCACUCGUUGGCCACUCUGGAAUGGUGACAUGCUAUGGUCCUACUCUGGCUCAGCACUGCUGCAGGGGGAUUGCCUCUAUCCAUUUACUAAAGCACUGGGGAACCGUGUCCUUGGUGAAUCUCCCCUGUGUAUGACCAACGGCCCUAAGCACAGGCUAAGCUUG